CUGUAGGAUUACAAAUUUAUAAAAUGUUAAAUCUAGCUUCCAACGUAAUAGUACACAAACUGAACAAGUUAUGUACAUUGGGUUUUACAUUUUGAGGUAAAAUUGGUGACAUUCUAAGAAGAUCAAGUCUUGUACCCCAGGUGUCAGAGACAUUAACCUUUUGUCUUUAUGUACUUCCUGACCACUGGGUAGGGUCCCACAGUCAAUGGGAAUGCUAAUCUCAAGGCCAGGCUGUGCCUUUGUCUCUAUGAGAAUGUAAAGGUUUGGGUGAUACUGUCAGGCUGAUUAGAUUAGCACCUAUGCAUUUGAAAGCCACUGUUAUGCUGAGGAGAUCAAGGCUGGGGAACUUCCGUUACCAGGCUGACUCCUGUACUAGACUAUGCUUUGUUUAAGUGGUCUCCACCUCUUUGUAUCCUCCCCCUCUUGUAAAGUAUAAACUCUCCAGAGCUGAGUUUUUAGUCAGACUUGGAUGACUACAGCGACGCUCGGCGAGUUCUCAAUAAAGAGUAACUUCUGCUUGAAUGAUA